rnacentral:rRNA from 1 species
CCUACGGUGGGCAGCAGUGGGGAAUAUUGGACAAUGGGCGAAAGCCUGAUCCAGCCAUGCCGCGUGUGUGAAGAAGGCCUUCGGGUUGUAAAGCACUUUCAGUGGGGAAGAAAGCCUUGGGGCUAAUACCCUCGAGGAAGGACAUCACCCACAGAAGAAGCACCGGCUAACUCCGUGCCAGCAGCCGCGGUAAUACGGAGGGUGCGAGCGUUAAUCGGAAUUACUGGGCGUAAAGCGCGCGUAGGCGGUCUGAUAAGCCGGUUGUGAAAGCCCCGGGCUCAACCUGGGAACGGCAUCCGGAACUGUCAGGCUAGAGUGCAGGAGAGGAAGGUAGAAUUCCCGGUGUAGCGGUGAAAUGCGUAGAGAUCGGGAGGAAUACCAGUGGCGAAGGCGGCCUUCUGGACUGACACUGACGCUGAGGUGCGAAAGCGUGGGUAGCAAACAGGAUUAGAUACCCUAGUAGUC